AACGAACGCUGGCGGCAGGCCUAACACAUGCAAGUCGAACGCCCUAGCAAUAGGGAGUGGCAGACGGGUGAGUAACACGUGGGAACCUUCCCUGUAGUACGGAAUAGCCCAGGGAAACUUGGAGUAAUACCGUAUAAGCCCGAGAGGGGAAAGAUUUAUCGCUACAGGAUGGGCCCGCGUCGGAUUAGCUAGUUGGUGAGGUAAUGGCUCACCAAGGCGACGAUCCGUAGCUGGUUUGAGAGAACGACCAGCCACACUGGGACUGAGACACGGCCCAGACUCCUACGGGAGGCAGCAGUGGGGAAUAUUGGACAAUGGGCGCAAGCCUGAUCCAGCCAUGCCGCGUGAGUGAUGAAGGCCUUAGGGUUGUAAAGCUCUUUUGUCGGGGACGAUAAUGACGGUACCCGAAGAAUAAGCACCGGCUAACUCCGUGCCAGCCGCCGCUGUAACAC
rnacentral:rRNA from 1 species